AACGAACGCUGGCGGCAUGCCUAACACAUGCAAGUCGAACGAGACCUUCGGGUCUAGUGGCGCACGGGUGCGUAACGCGUGGGAACCUGCCCUUAGGUUCGGAAUAACUCCCCGCAAGGGGUGCUAAUACCGGAUAAUGUCUUCGGACCAAAGAUUUACCGCCUUUGGAUGGGCCCGCGUUGGAUUAGCUAGUUGGUAGGGUAAAAGCCUACCAAGGCGACGAUCCAUAGCUGGUCUGAGAGGAUGAUCAGCCACACUGGCACUGAGACACGGCCCAGACUCCUACGGGAGGCAGCAGUGGGGAAUAUUGGACAAUGGGCGAGAGCCUGAUCCAGCAAUGCCGCGUGAGUGAUGAAGGCCUUAGGGUUGUAAAGCUCUUUUACCCGGGAUGAUAAUGACAGUACCGGGAGAAUAAGCUCCGGCUAACUCCGUG
rnacentral:rRNA from 1 species